UAGGGAAUCUUCGGCAAUGGACGAAAGUCUGACCGAGCAACGCCGCGUGAGUGAAGAAGGUUUUCGGAUCGUAAAACUCUGUUGUUAGAGAAGAACAAGGACGUUAGUAACUGAACGUCCCCUGACGGUAUCUAACCAGAAAGCCACGGCUAACUACGUGCCAGCAGCCGCGGUAAUACGUAGGUGGCAAGCGUUGUCCGGAUUUAUUGGGCGUAAAGCGAGCGCAGGCGGUUUCUUAAGUCUGAUGUGAAAGGCCCCGGCUCAACCGGGGAGGGUCAUUGGAAACUGGGAGACUUUAGUGCAGAAGAGGAGAGUGGAAUUCCAUGUGUAGCGGUGAAAUGCGUAGAUAUAUGGAGGAACACCAGUGGCGAAGGCGGCUCUCUGGUCUGUACCUGACGCUGAGGCUCGAAAGCGUGGGGAGCAAACAGG
rnacentral:rRNA from 1 species